rnacentral:rRNA from 1 species
UACGUAGGAGGCAAGCGUUAUCCGGAAUUACUGGGCGUAAAGGGCGUCUAGGCGGAGGCGCAAGCGGGGUGUGAAAGCUCUCGGCUUAACUGAGAGAGUGCGCUCCGAACUGCGCGACUAGAGGGCAGGCGACGGCGGUGGAAUACCCGGUGGAGUGGUGAAAUGCGUAGAGAUCGGGUGGAACACCAGUGGCGAAGGCGGCCGCCGAGCCUGUUGCUGACGCUGAAGCGCGAGAGCGUGGGGAGCAAACGGG